AAACUGUAAUAAAAAUGGGGGGAUGAGUGAAUAAGUUACAGAACCGUCUACCACUUUUUUCUGCCUAUAAAUGGCAUGCCUAGUGUCUUCAUAAAUAAGUUUUACACAAUCUGAAAAUUUCUAAAAAUUCCAGCUUCUAAAUUUCUCCCCAAUACCCAUUUUCUGCAAGCUUAAGGUCUGAAAUUUAAAUUUCAAAUUCAAAUAUUCAAAUCUGAAAACCUAAAGUUCAACAAAUUCUCUUCGAUCUUCAUUUCUUCCAAAAAAACAAAAACAAAAGAAAAAUACAAUAAAACUCAACAAAAAAUACUGUUAUAUUGUGACUUUGCGUUGAAUUUCAAGUUGUAGUGUUGGAUUGGCAUCUUCUAGCUCAGUUUCUAGUGAUUGAAGUCCUUAAAAUAUUACUGGUUCAAUUUCAACUAAAUUUGGGUGAAAGUUAGUGUGAUUUGGUCAUUUUAUUGCUGUUAUUCUUCUGUCAUUCCUCCCUAGGUAUUGUGGCUUGAUUUGGGUUGAAAAUUGGUCUUAUGUAAGCUGUGUUAUUGCUGAUCUCUUUGAUGUGAUCCGCUGAACUGUUGCUGAUCUUAUUUCCUUCUUAUUUCGCUCUAAAUUCCAGGUACACAUUUGAAUCUCAUUGCUGUAACUCAGAGCUUGAAAGUGGAAUAAAGUGCUCAACUAUUUGCUCUUGAACUAUGCUUGCUUGGGUUGUGAUGUGUUAGUAGAUCAAUAGGUUUUAAUUAAUGUGUAAUUAUCUAGUUUGUGUUAACAUGGCACAAUAGGUCGUGGGUUGUUUAAUCAUGGACUGUUUUGACAUCAAUUUGGACUGUUAUGAGGCUAUGAAUCCUAUAGGACUGUUUGUGUAUAAUUUGGAUUGUUGUUUGUAUUAGCUUUCACUGUUAAGCACUAGCGUAAAUACAAAAAUUGAUUUUAGGUUUCAUUUGUGGUUACUAAGUGAGCAUUAGAGAUGACGAUUUAGACUUGGACAGUAUGUCCAAUUAGUUUACCAUAUUCCCACUAUUUUCAUAAUGAAUCUCAUCUCCUGUUUGUAAUUAAAUCGGAUUGGAUAUAUAUGAGUCUUAGAACUGGACAUACGGACUGGAUAUAUAUAAAUCGGACUGGACUCGAACUUGAAUAGUCGUAGUUCGAACUCCAGGUGCUUGUUCAACAGUAUUGGCGUCGGCAUAACAAAUUUUCAGCAUGAUCAGCAUUAAAUUAGUUAUGGUUUCAGUAUUAAAGUUUCAGCAUGUUCAAAUUUUCUGGAAGUAGUUAUGGCUUCAAUAUCAAUUUUUCAUUUCAAAUCUAUAAAGUUAAGAGCAUGUGAAUCAAACCCAAACAACUAUCAAAUUUAGAUUGAAUGAUGAUUCUUUGAGUUGAGUUUAAAUUGAUAAACAGUUCCUCCUUGUUGGGCCAUGGGUUAGGCCAAACGUUUGGCCUACUUACCCAAUCGACAAUCUGGCUUUUGCUUAUGUCAUGACCCAAACCCGGCCGUGAUGGCACCCAAACCUAAAGCUAGGUAAGCCUGACCAAUAAUCACUUCUAACGUAACAUUUAAGUCUCAAACUGAGAAUUUAACAAAAUAAUAAUCCACGAAUAUUAAUAAUAUGGUAUAAGUAAAAUACAAAAAUCAGAAGCACACCCAUAUGAUCUGGGGGUCACGAGUCUAGAGCCUCUAAACAAAACUAAGUGAUAUUAAUAGUAUUUGAAUGCCACAACCAAAUCUGGGAAAAGUAUAUAAUAAUAAUAAAAUGAAGAAAUAAUGAAGAGCAGCUAGGUCAUGCGAAUGUCAUGCAGCUACCUCAGUGACUCUGAAAUAUCUCUGGAGACUACGAGAAUCAGCUAAGCCUCCGGUGUACCUAAAUCUGCACACAAGGUGCAGGGAGUAGGGGUGAGUAUUACCGAUUUAGUGAAUAAUAAGUAUAGAAAAUAACUGAAAGUUAGAAAUCCACGAAAGACCACAACGCAAAACUAUAACUAACAAUCCAAUAAUUUAGUUACAGGCUAACAACAUAAGUAUCACAACAACAACCAAGUAUCGGAUAAAGAUGCAAUGCAAC
rnacentral:lncRNA from 1 species